rnacentral:rRNA from 1 species
CGCAUCUGUGCAUGCAGCAUAUCAAUAAGCGGAGGAAAAGAAACUAACAAGGAUUCCCCUAGUAACGGCGAGUGAAGCGGGAAGAGCUCAAAUUUGAAAUCUUAAAGGGUUUCCCUUUACGAAUUGUAGUUUAAAGAAGUGUUUUCUGUUGAGGUUUUGGUAAAAGUUCUUUGGAAUAGGACAUCAUAGAGGGUGAGGAUCCCGUAUUUGACCUUUACUUUCAACUUUGUGAUACACUUUCAAAGAGUCGGAUUGUUUGGGAAUGCAGUCCAAAAUGGGUGGUAAAUUUCAUCUAAAGCUAAAUAUUGGCGAGAGACCGAUAGCGAACAAGUACCGUGAGGGAAAGAUGAAAAGAACUUUGAAAAGAGAGUUAAACAGUACGUGAAAUUGUCAAAAGGGAAGCGUUUGACACCAGUGUUGUUUUUCUGAAAAUCAAUUAAAGAACUGUUUAUGCUAAGUUGUUUAGACUUUAUCAGCUAACUGUUUAGUUUUGAGCUUUUCUUUAAUGCACUUUUCAGUUAACAAGUCAACAUCAAUUUCUUUUGCUGUAAAAAAGCUUGAGGAAGGUGGCUUGAGAUUCGUCUUAAGUGUUUAUAGCCUCUUGCCUAUGCAGUCGGAGAGAUUGAGGUCUGCAGCGUAGAUCCUUCGGGGCUAAAUGCAUUUGUGCUAAGUUAUAGCAUUUUAUAGACAACUUGUUGACUAUGAUUUGUCUUGUAGCUUACUCGCUUAUGUUAUUUUACCUACGCUUAGGAUGUUGAGCGCAUGUCUCUCUCU